rnacentral:rRNA from 1 species
AUUGAACGCUGGCGGCAUGCCUUACACAUGCAAGUCGAACGGCAGCACGGGUGCUUGCACCUGGUGGCGAGUGGCGAACGGGUGAGUAAUACAUCGGAACAUGUCCUGUAGUGGGGGAUAGCCCGGCGAAAGCCGGAUUAAUACCGCAUACGAUCUACGGAUGAAAGAGGGGGACCUUCGGGCCUCGCGCUAUAGGGUUGGCCGAUGGCUGAUUAGCUAGUUGGUGGGGUAAAGGCCUACCAAGGCGACGAUCAGUAGCUGGUCUGUGAGGACGACCAGCCACACUGGUACUGAGACACGGCCCAGCCUCCUACGGGAGGCAGCAGUGGGGUAUUUUGCACAAUGGGCGAAAGCCUGAUCCAGCAAUGCCGCGUGUGUGAAGAAGGCCUUCGGGUUGUAAAGCACUUUUGUCCGGAAAGAAAUCCUUGGCCCUAAUACGGUCGGGGGAUGACGGUACCGGAAGAAUAAGCACCGGCUAACUACGUG